UUGCUCUCUCAUUUCAGAGUCUCCUUUUGAAGUGGUUCAAAGGUAGAGAGCACUUUAGGAGAAUGGUGUGUUUUAAAACCUGGCUGGCAUUUACAAUGUUCUGCUCUGUUCUUCUCUGCAUUAGCUAUAAGAUAGUGGGCUUUAGUUUGCAGUAGAGAUCUUGUGGCUCAGGAGCCUGAAGAGUUUACUACUCAGCUCUGUGAAUCUUCUUUAAGAUGAUCUUUGAGAAUACCUUUCCAUGUCGUCCUUAAAGCAAGCUAUUGUCAUCCAUUGCUAGCAUUCAGAUUCUCAAGACAAGUAUGUCAUGAGAAAUGAACCUGCAAAGACUACCUGCUUUCUUACCACACUCAUUUCUCCUCACCACUUGUGCCUGCUGAAGGUGAGUCUCUCCUCAAUCCUCUGCCAAGUGACUACUUGUUGUCUGGAAACUUCUGAGGACACUGGGGAAUCUGGUGGUAACAUGGGCAAGGCACAAGAAGUUAAGGACAGUUUCUGACCUCAAAUCAGAUUUUACCAUUUUAGGGAUGUAACCUUGAAUGGAUGGUGGUGUUUUAAUUUCUUCCGCGUUGGUGUUCUUUAUAUAAAGUGGGGACAUUUGCUGUUUAAUGAGGCAAGGAUUCUCACGGGGCCACAAUUUCAUCUGGAAGAGAUAGAGUGCCAGCCUAUCAUGGUUUGAGAAGCUUGGGAGAUGCACAUAGACACACAGGCACCUGGUAGUAAGGCGCCAGGGUGGAGCUUCAGAGUUUAAUCUUCCGUGAAAUUGUCUGUGCUGCCUCACAGGGAAGCCACGUCUAAACACUGGAAGAUGUUCCAUAGCCAGCACUUUGAGAACUUAUUUCACAUAGUCUUGAUUUAUACCUUACAUUUGAUUUACUUACAUGGCACAGCAUGAUUCCUAAAGGUUAAAAGCAAUGGCUAUUAUUUAGGAACAACUUCAGAAGAUGCAGAGUGAGUUUUGAUGGGAAAGAGACUCUUCAUGGGCUACUCUAGAACAAACAAUGGAAACGGAUCACAGGAAAGAAUGAAGGACAUGGUUCAUGUCUGAUUCAGACAGGAACAUGCUGUCCUCUGAGAGACUCCAUUCAGCAGCUGACUCAGAUGCAGACACCCACAACUAAACAGUGGAUGGAGCUUGGGGACUCUUACGGAAAAAUAGGAGGAAGGAUUCUGGGCCUAGAAGGAGAUAGGAACUCCACAGGAAGACCAGAGCCAACUAACAUGGACUGCUGGGGAUCUCAGAACAUAUAUGACCUGGACCUACACUUCCCUGCACCUAUGUAGCCGAUGUGCAGCUUGGUCUUCUUGUGGGUCCCGAAACAACUGGAGCAGGGACUAUCCCAAAAGCUGUUGCUUGUAUGUCGGAUAUCUUCUACCAGCUGGGCUGCCUUGUCUGUUCUCAGUGGGAGAGGAAGCAGAGACUUGAAGUGCUGGGUUUGGGGGUCUGUGUGAUACCCAGAGGUCCCCCACCAGCUCAGAGAAGAAUGGGGGAAUGGAGGAAGGGUUGUGAGAGAGGAUGACUAGAAGGAGGGUAGUAAGCAGGUUGUAAAGUGAAUAAGAAAAAAAAAGAAUUAAAUUAAAACAAACAAACAAACAAAAAACACCAAAGGAUUCCUCUCACAACACAAUUGGAGAGAAAUUAAUCAAAGAACCCAGUUCUUGUAGCCAAGCUGUCACACCGCCCACUAAGCCUACAAGUGGGAAUUCCAUUCAAAUAGUUGCAAAACAGUCCUUAAUACUUCAUCUUGUCUAUUAAUGGUCAGUUUGUCUCUGCAGUCAAACAGAACAAUCUUGUUUUCUCUAAUGAAAAGAAAAUUAAGUUAAAUCUUAAAAGAAGGGGAUUUAUUGUUUGUCGUUAGACAAUGGACACUAGAUACCGCAGAGUAAUGAAAUAAAUACAAGGAGCAAAGACAGAGAAUUUCUCAAGCAUUUCUCACACAGCCAUGCUUCAGCUGGAUGCUCCCCCACAGGCCUGUCCCUUGGCAGAAGAGUGUUCUUUAGCCUUCCAUAUGCUGCACUCUCUAAGAGAUAUACAAUGCCCGUUAAAAUAGUAAAGGUCCCAGAAUGCCGAAGUCAAGAAAUCCAUCUAAUGGCCUUUCCAUGCUUUAUAAUUCUACAAAGCUUUUCAAGUAUAGUCUCUACUAUAACUUUAUAGAUUUGGUGAGAGGGAAUAUGCCUAGAGUACUCCUAUACAAACACUACAUGUGUGUCCUAGUGCACUAGAAGUCAAGCCCCAGGAAAAUGGAAUCACUUAGAGGCAAUCAAAACUUUUGGUAGAAAAACAUGUCUUUGAAUGCUAAGAGCACGGAAGAAAGAAAUUAUAUAGGCUGGGAACCAUGUACUAUGGCAUUUAGGGGAGAGUGGAGAUUCAAAAGAAUGGGAAAGAAAUCAAGAAAUGGGAAGCAAAGUCUAAUAAUUCAAUCCACUAGGCCAUGUGUUAACGUAAUGUUUCUGAUGGAAGUAUACAGGACUUCAUAGGCUCCAGAGUUUUUAAGAUGAUGCUAUCUUUUACUAAAUCAGUACCUGGUCACCCUGCUGCCCAACUGGCUUUGGAAAUCUCCACUUCUCUGGGAUUCUAGAGGAGAGAGUAGGCAGGCUCACAAGGCUUCUUGGACAUUGAAUUUCUCUUACAAAACAAUAGUUUGUUGAAUUCUAUGCCAACUAAGCAGAUGGAUUACAUUUCUCUCUCAAUGUGCACAAAUUAAAAAAUUAAAGAGAAAAAGUAUUUGGUAAGAACCAGCUUUCUAUUUUGCUGGAUCAGAAGCAUUUACGGAAAUGGUUUGAAAUGCUUGGCUGAAACCCAGUGCCACCAGGCAUGCCUGGCUCCAGACACCAAUCCCAUUGACUGAAAAUUUCUAUUAAGCAAACAGAUGGGUGCAUGGUUUGUAGCUGACCUCCCCACAAGUGUGGAACAUGAAAUGCAAUAUUCCUGGAAGGAUAAACACUGUGUGCCUCAUAAUUUUACAAAGAGGGGUAGAGAUACAUUGCCAGGACAUCUUAGAAAUAAUAUUAGCUACAAAAUUAGAUUCUAAAGAGAUUAACUUUAUCAGUUAUUAGAGAAAUUGAGAAUGAAACUCAUAGAAAAAGCAAAAAAAAAAAAAAAAAAAAAAAAAAAAAAAAAAAACGAGAAAAAAAUGGGAAAGUAAGGGGUGAAUUGCCUAAAGUUCUACAACUGUGAAUAAAAUUAUUGAGAUGCUUUCUGAAAUAACAUGAUAAUUUCACAAAUUGUUAAUUAACAAAACCCAAGGUUUGUUUGUGUGCCUUUUUAAAAUGAAUAAAAUUUACUUUAAUAGCAGUUUUAAUGUUGGAGCAAUACUGAAAAGAAAAUCAAGCCCCUGCCCACUCUCCCACAAGGUGUUCUGUCAGCAUUUCUCAGUAGCUGGUAAUGCGUACGUAACCUUGACCAAAUAUCAGAGCUCACAUUAAAGACUACUCUGUACCUGUUUUUAAUAAAAAAGUAACAAGGUUGUGGAUUAUUGCUCUUAUUAAUGACUUACAAUACUGCUAAAAAGUGCAUUGCUUUUGGAUAUUUGAAGAAGACAGACACUGCAGCUAACAGUUUUGAAAAAAAUAAGUUGAUUUCAUAGUCUACUGAACUUAAAAAAAAAACCUAAAUUACUCAAAAGUUUAAGUUUUAUAGACUUAAUUCUGGUAUUGUUCCAAUAAGCAAGUCUUAUGUAUUAUCAAACACUAUUUGUAAUGUAAAAUGUGGAGCUAAUAUUAUUUCAUGGCUGUAACCCACUCUUUCAUGAGACAGCUACAGUUGCAAAAGGCAUACAAAGGAAAACAAACCCUAUGGUAGGUACUUUACACAGAAAAUGAUUGGAGUGACAGAAUAAAACUCAUGUUCAUUUCCACUGCUUUCAUUUUAAAAUGUGUGUGUGUGUGUGUGUGUGUGUGUGUGUGUCCACAGAAGUCAGAUCCCAUAAAGUUGGAACUGCAGGCCAUUGUGCUGGCAACCAAACGUGGGCCCUCUGUAAGAAUGGCAAAUGUUUUUUUACUGUUGAACCAUCUCCUCAGCUUUCAUUUUUUUUCUUUUUAUAAGAGCUUCCAUCCAGAUAUGAAGUUGGAAUCUUGGGUGUGUCAGUCAUGUGUCUCCUAGCCAAAAGAAUUCUGAAAUGUAUCCAUGCUGUGAUUUUGAUAAUGAGAUUCCAAAGACUGAAUGGAGUUCACUAGAGCUCUGUAUCUUGAUCUAUUCAGUGGACACAUUAAAAGUUCAAAGAAAGAUUAGAAAACCUAAUGACCAAUUCAGAGUGAGCCUAUCCAUAAUACCCAGUGUAUACCCUGCUGGUGUUAACCUAUUUCAGAUACAUUUCUCAAGAUGGUGACUGCUGUAUGUUCUAUUCUAUUCUGAGCCUCUGCUUCACUGGGGAGUAUUUGGCAAUGAUGAGCAUACAAUAUUUGCAAUCACCUGAGAAAACUAGGCACUGACACAGCCUUGUUAUCAGGAACCAAAGCUUUCUGUAUAUGAUAGUUCUUUUGAUUCUCUUACUAAUCCAAUUAUUAUUUUUGUGCUUCAUAGAAA
rnacentral:lncRNA from 1 species